rnacentral:rRNA from 1 species
AACGAACGCUGGCGGCAGGCCUAACACAUGCAAGUCGAACGCCCGUAGCAAUACGGGAGUGGCAGACGGGUGAGUAACGCGUGGGAACGUGCCCUUCGGUUCGGAAUAACUCAGGGAAACUUGAGCUAAUACCGGAUACGUCCGUAAGGAGAAAGAUUUAUCGCCGAAGGAUCGGCCCGCGUCGGAUUAGCUAGUUGGUGAGGUAACGGCCCACCAAGGCGACGAUCCGUAGCUGGUCUGAGAGGAUGAUCAGCCACACUGGGACUGAGACACGGCCCAGACUCCUACGGGAGGCAGCAGUGGGGAAUAUUGGACAAUGGGCGAAAGCCUGAUCCAGCCAUGCCGCGUGAGUGAAGAAGGCCUUAGGGUUGUAAAGCUCUUUCAGCGGGGAAGAUAAUGACGGUACCCGCAGAAGAAGCCCCGGCUAACUUCGUGCCAGCCGCCGCGGU